rnacentral:rRNA from 1 species
GGAAUAUUGGUCAAUGGGCGAGAGCCUGAACCAGCCAAGUAGCGUGCAGGAAGACGGCCCUAUGGGUUGUAAACUGCUUUUAUACGGGGAUAAAGUGAGGGACGUGUCCCUUAUUGUAGGUACCGUAUGAAUAAGGACCGGCUAAUUCCGUGCCAGCAGCCGCGGUAAUACGGAAGGUCCGGGCGUUAUCCGGAUUUAUUGGGUUUAAAGGGAGCGCAGGCCGAUGGUUAAGCGUGACGUGAAAUGUAGCCGCUCAACGGCUGAACUGCGUCGCGAACUGGCUGUCUUGAGUGAGUUCGAUGUGGGCGGAAUUCGUGGUGUAGCGGUGAAAUGCUUAGAUAUCACGAAGAACUCCGAUUGCGAAGGCAGCUGACUGUAGCGUUACUGACGCUGAAGCUCGAAGGUGCGGGUAUCGAACA